GACGAACGCUGGCGGCGUGCCUAAUACAUGCAAGUAGAACGCUGAAGAGAGGAGCUUGCUCUUCUUGGCUGAGUUGCGAACGGGUGAGUAACGCGUAGGUAACCUGCCUUGUAGCGGGGGAUAACUAUUGGAAACGAUAGCUAAUACCGCAUAACAAUGGAUGACACAUGUCAUUUAUUUGAAAGGGGCAAUUGCUCCACUACAAGAUGGACCUGCGUUGUAUUAGCUAGUAGGUGAGGUAACGGCUCACCUAGGCGACGAUACAUAGCCGACCUGAGAGGGUGAACGGACACACUGGGACUGAGAAACGGCCCAGACUCCUAAGGGGGGCAGCAGUAGGGAAUCUUCGGCAAAGGGGGAAACCCUGACCGGGCAACGCCGCGUGAGUGAAGAAGGGUUUCGGAUCGUAAAGCUCUGUUGUAAGUCAAGAACGAGUGUGAGAGUGGAAAGUGCACACUGUGACGGUAGCUUACCAGAAAGGGACGGCUAACUACGUG
rnacentral:rRNA from 1 species